GAGGAAUUACACAAAAAUAUUAAAAGAUUUACAUAUUGCAUAUGUUUUAGUUGCAUUCUUAUUACUUGAGAAAAAUAUUGUCUUUAUAUACAUUUUAAUUUGCUAGAAAUGCGUUUUGUCUGUUUCUGUCUAAACCGUCACCGGCGUCACGUGACACAGACGCGAUCUUUUUAUUUUUUUACAGACGCAAUUCCUUCUAUGACCUAAUAUGGAAUCCAUGACGACAUAGAACGCCAGCUCUCGGGCUAUAUAAAGCGCAGUUCCACACAGUGUUGUUGAGUUAUUCUGUGGUGAGUUUAGGAAGAGAACGGUCAACCUUAAAACACUCUGCUGAGGACAGUGCAGGACAGGUUAAAGUCUCUGCUCACUGAAUGCUGUGUCUACUAGGGAGAAACUUCUGUAAAAGUUACAUCUCUGCACAUGACUUAUUCUGUGGUGAGGGUAAGAACGGUAAACCUUAAAACACUCUGAGACACACUGCAAGACAGGUAAAGAGGGAAACAUGUUUACCUUAUGAAGCAUUAAGAUAAUAUAAUUAAUUUACAUGGUUUUUUAUUAGAAUUAUACUUCGUUGUGUAAACUAAUUAAAAAAUCAGAUGUAAAGCCAAACAUUUUUUGAAAAGAAACGCUACCAAAUAUGAUUAGAAGUACUAAAGCAUAUACAGUCAGUAUGUGUGUGUAUAUGUAUGUACAGUAUAUGUAUGUAUAUAUAGUUCAGUUCAGUUUAUAUAUUAAAGAAAAAAAUACUUUAAUCGUCUCAAAACUUUAGGUUGCUCGAAGGUCCUUGUUAUAGAUUUGCUUGUUUCCUUAUGCUGGGUGCAGUGCUGCUCUGUGCAUGACUAUCAGCUUCAUGCCCACAAUGCGGUGUGCACUCUGUACCGGGUGGGUCAAGGUUUGGGACUGGCAAAAAGACAGGAAUGGCCUACUUUUAAAACACCUAAGCAUCUAAUGUAAAGACCUUGUUUUGUAAUAUUACCAAUUUUUCUAACAUAAUAAUCAAUAGAUUUAUUUUUUUAAUAGAGAUUAUUAUCCAUCGUGUAAAUACGUUAAAACGGAUGUACAGGACAACAAGUUUUUUUUUAAUUAAACACUUAACUAAUACGAUUAGAAGUAGGGUACUGCCCUGUAAUGUGGGUUUUUGGCUCACAGGCCAGGUCCCUAUAGUUAUUUAUUAUGAAAAUAUCUAAAUACCUUGUUUCAAAAUGUUUCAUAAGCGGCCAAUCCCGACGAGAGGUGUCUAGAGCAUUUGCGCAAGCGUAUGAUAAGUCUUGGGCGGGACAGGGCUGCCUGCCAUCCUGGAAGUUUUUGAUUUCCAGGGUCUCUGACCACCAGUCGAGCCGGACGAGAGGUGUCCAGAGCAUACACGCAAGCGGGACAGGGCCCCCUGCCAUCCUGGAAGUCUUGUACUUCUAGGGUCUCCAACCCUACAGGCAGAGCCCGACGAGAAGUCUUGGACUUCCAGGGUCUCUGACUCUACCGUCCAAGCUUGAUUAUAAGUCUUGGGCGGGACAGGGCCGCCUGCUCUCCAGGAAGUUUUGGACUUCCAGGGUCUCCGACCCUACUGGUCAAGCCAGACGAGGUGUCCAGAGCAUACACGCAAGCGGGACAGGGCCGCUUGCCGUCCUAGAAGUCUUGGACUUCCAGGGUCUCUGACCUUACAGGCCAAUCCUGACGAGAGGUGGCCAGAGCAUACGCGCAAGGGGGACAGGGCCUUUUGCCGUCCUAGAAGUCUUGUACUUCUAAGGUCUUCAACCCUACAGGCAGAACCCGACAAGAAGUCUUGGACUUCCAGGGUCUCUGACUCUACCGUCCCAGCUUGAUGAUAAGUCUUGGGCGGGACAGGGCUGCCUGCCAUCCUGGUAGUUUUUGAUUUCCAGGGUCUCUGACCACCAGUCGAGCCUGACGAGAGGUGUCCAGAGCAUACGCGCAAGCGGGACAGGGCCGCCUGCCAUCCUGGAAGUUUUGGACUUCCAGGGUGUCUGACCCUACCGGCCAAGCUCGACGAGAGGUGUCCAGAGCAUAUACGCAAGCGGGACAGGGCCGCCUGCCAUCCUGGAAGUCUUGGACUUCCAGAGUGUCUGACGACCCUACCGGUCAGGCCAGACGAGGUGUCCAGAGCAUACGCGCAAGCGGGACAGGGCCACUUGCCGUCCUAGAAGUCUCUGACUUCCAGGGUCUCUGACCUUACAGGCCAAUCCCAAUGAGAGGUGGCCAGAGCAUACGCGCAAGCGGAACCGGGCCGCCUGCCAUCCUGGAAGUCUUGUACUUCUAGGGUCUCCAACCCUACAGGCAGAGCCCGACGAGAAGUCUUGGACUUCCAGGGUCUCUGACUCUACCGUCCAAGCUUGAUGAUAAGUCUUGGGCAGGAUAGGGCUGCCUGCCAUCUUGGAAGUUUUUGAUUUCCAGGGUCUCUAACCACCAGCCGAGCCUGACGAGAGGUGUCCAGAGCAUACACGCAAGCGGGACAGGGCCGCCUGCCAUCCUGGAAGUCUUGGACUUCCAGGGUCUCUGACUCUACCGUCCAAGCUUGAUGAUAAGUCUUGGGCAGGAUAGGGCUGCCUGCCAUCUUGGAAGUUUUUGAUUUCCAGGGUCUCUGACCACCAGCCGAGCCUGACGAGAGGUGUCCAGAGCAUACACGCAAGCGGGACAGGGCCGCCUGCUCUCUAGGAAGUUUUGGACUUCCAGGGUCUCCGACCCUACUGGUCAAGCCACACGAGGUGUCCAGAGCAUAUGCGCAAGCGGGACAGGGCCGCUUGCCGUCCUAGAAGUCUUGGACUUCCAGGGUCUCUGACCUUACAGGCCAAUCCUGACGAGAGGUGGCCAGAGCAUACGCACAAGGGGGACAGGGCCUUUUGCCAUCCUAGAAGUCUUGUACUUCUAAGGUCUUCAACCCUACAGGCAGAGCCCGACAAGAAGUCUUGGACUUCCAGGGUCUCUGACUCUACCGUCCCAGCUUGAUGAUAAGUCUUGGGCGGGACAGGGCUGCCUGCCAUCCUGGAAGUUUUUGAUUUCCAGGGUCUCUGACCACCAGUCGAGCCUGACGAGAGGUGUCCAGAGCAUACGCGCAAGCGGGACAGGGCCGCCUGCCAUCCUGGAAGUUUUGGACUUCCAGGGUGUCUGACCCUACCGGCCAAGCUCGACGAGAGGUGUGCAGAGCAUAUACGCAAGCGGGACAGGGCCGCCUGCCAUCCUGGAAGUCUUGGACUUCCAGAGUGUCUGACGACCCUACCGGUCAGGCCAGACGAGGUGUCCAGAGCAUACGCGCAAGCGGGACAGGGCCACUUGCCGUCCUAGAAGUCUCUGACUUCCAGGGUCUCUGACCUUACAGGCCAAUCCCAAUGAGAGGUGGCCAGAGCAUACGCGCAAACGGAACAGGGCCACCUGCCAUCCUGGAAGUCUUGUACUUCUAGGGUCUCCAACCCUACAGGCAGAGCCCGACGAGAAGUCUUGGACUUCCAGGGUCUCUGACUCUACCGUCCAAGCUUGAUGAUAAGUCUUGGGCAGGAUAGGGCUGCCUGCCAUCUUGGAAGUUUUUGAUUUCCAGGGUCUCUGACCACCAGCCGAGCCUGACGAGAGGUGUCCAGAGCAUACACGCAAGCGGGACAGGGCCGCCUGCCAUCCUGGAAGUCUUGGACUUCCAGGGUCUCUGACUCUACCGUCCAAGCUUGAUGAUAAGUCUUGGGCAGGAUAGGGCUGCCUGCCAUCUUGGAAGUUUUUGAUUUCCAGGGUCUCUGACCACCAGCCGAGCCUGACGAGAGGUGUCCAGAGCAUACACGCAAGCGGGACAGGGCCGCCUGCUCUCUAGGAAGUUUUGGACUUCCAGGGUCUCCGACCCUACUGGUCAAGCCACACAAGGUGUCCAGAGCAUAUGCGCAAGCGGGACAGGGCCGCUUGCCGUCCUAGAAGUCUUGGACUUCCAGGGUCUCUGACCUUACAGGCCAAUCCUGACGAGAGGUGGCCAGAGCAUACGCACAAGGGGGACAGGGCCUUUUGCCAUCCUAGAAGUCUUGUACUUCUAAGGUCUUCAACCCUACAGGCAGAGCCCAACAAGAAGUCUUGGACUUCCAGGGUCUCUGACUCUACCGUCCAAGCUUGAUGAUAAGUCUUGGGCGGGACAGGGCUGCCUGCCAUCCUGGAAGUUUUUGAUUUCCAGGGUCUCUGACCACCAGUCGAGCCUGACGAGAGGUGUCCAGAGCAUACGCGCAAGCGGGACAGGGCCGCCUGCCAUCCUAGAAGUUUUGGACUUCCAAGGUCUCCGACCCUACCGAUCAAGCGAGACGAGGUGUCCAGAGCAUACGCGCAAGCGGGACAGGGCCGCUUGCCGUCCUAGAAGUCUUGGACUUCCAGGGUCUCUGACCUUACAGGCCAAUCCCAACGAGAGGUGGCCAGAGCAUACGCGCAAGGGGGACAGGGCCGUUUGCCGUCCUAGAAGUCUUGGACUUCCAUUGUCUCUGACCUUACCGGCCAAUCCUGACGAGAGGUGUCCAGAGCAUACGCGCAAGGGGGACAGGGCCGUUUGCCGUCCUAGAAGUCUUGGACUUCCAGUGUCUCUGACCUUACCGGCCAAUCCUGACGAGAGGUGUCCAGAGCAUACGCGCAAGUGGGACAGGGCCGCUUGCCGUUCUGGAAGUCUUGGACUUCUAGAGUCUCCAACCCUACAGGCAGAGCCCGACGAGAAGUCUUGGACUUCCAGGGUCUCUGACUCUACCAUCCAAGCCUGAAUAUAAGUCUUGGGUGGGACAGGGCUGCUUGCCAUCCUGGAAGUUUUUGAUUUCCAGGGUCUCUGACCACCAACCGAGCCUGACGAGAGGUGUCCAGAGCUUACGCGCAAGCGGGACAGGGCCGCCUGCCAUCCUGGAAGUUUUAGACUUCCAGGGUGUCUGACCCUACUGGCAAAGGUCGACAAGAGGUGUCCAGAGCAUACCAGCAAGCGGGACAGGGCCGCCUGCCAUCCUGGAAGUCUUGGACUUCCAGUAUGUCUGACCCUACUGGCUAAGACGAGAAGUGUCCAGAGCAUACACGCAAGCAGGUCAGGGCCGUCUGCUGUCUGACCCUACCAGCCGAGCCCAAAGACAGGACUCAGAAACGGAUGCGCAGGCGGGACAGGGCCGCCUGCUCUCCUGGAAGUUUUGGACUUCCAGGGUCUCCGACCCUACUGGUCAAGCCGGAUGAGGUGUCCAGAGCAUACGCGCAAGCGGGACAGGACCACUUGCCGUCCUAGAAGUCUUGGACUUCCAGGGUCUCUGACCUUACAGGCCAAUCCCAACGAGAGGUGGCCAGAGCAUACGCGCAAGGGGGACAGGGACGUUUGCCGUCCUAGAAGUCUUAAACUUCCAGGGUCUCUGACCUUACAUGCCAAUCCCAACGAGAGGUGGCCAGAGCAUACGUGCAAGCGGGACAAGGCCACUUGCCGUCCUGCAAGUCUUGGACUUCCAGGGUGUCCUACCCUACCCCCCGAGCCCAAAGAAAGGACUCAGGAGCAUAUGCGUAGUUGGGACAGGGCCACAUGCCAUCCUGGAAGUUUUGGACUUCCAGGGUCUUCAACUUGGACUUCCAGGGUGUCCGACCCUUCCGGCUUAGCCCGAAGCGAGGACUUCGAAGAGAACAUGCAGGCGGGACAGGGCCGCCUGACGUCCUGGAAGUCUUGGACUUCCAGACGGCCGAGCAGAAGUAGAGAGCAUUGGCCUGCAUUGGCCAUUACAUUGGCGCUGUGAAAAAGCUUUAGAGAAAUCAUAAAAGGGAAAGGCUCACAUAGCGUCAGCUUCAAACGCAAUGUAGAGAGACUGUUCUCGAAAAGGAACAAUGUAAAGCUAGGCAAACACUAAACAUACUAGCCAAAACUGAACUAUAAACUUAACAGUAAACUAAACUUUAAAUAACUAGACUUCAUAGACUUUAUACAGGAAACAUACAAACAAAUCAGCACAGGACAGCAAACAUUAGCUUAUCAUGGGGGUAACAGGUGUGGGGCAUAUAACAAUAGCAAAAUAAUUAACCCAAUUAACACCAAAGCAAACAAUGACAUGUGCUUCCACACAAAACAAGUAACGUUGUCACGAUCCUGACAAAAGACUAGAAAAGCAUGAAUGAUAGAGGCAGGAUCGUGACAUAUGGUGAAAUUGUCAUAAGUUUUGUCCUUAACUUCUUCUGUGAGUUCAGUUUGUUUUACAGAUAGUAAAAACAGUUGAUGGAAUGUUGUUAGAUGACCAACUCAUAAGCAAAUAAAGUUGAGACGGAGAUGAAGCAGGAGGACCAGGCUCCAUGACUGAUGGAAAGCUCUUCAUCCAGGCAUCAGUCAAUCAGAACACCCAAGAGGAUGCUGCACAUUCACUGUGCUGAAACUGUGAAGACAACUCAGACUUCAAAGAUUCAAAACAACACCACUGAAUCACUUUGAAUAAUCACAUGAUCACAAAGCAUUCAAGAGACGGACACGCGCCUCUGCCAAUAAUAACAUAAUAAAAGUAAAUAAAGAUAUAAAAGAUUAAAGUAAAGUGCUUCUUCCAGUGCUGCGUCCGGGACCGAAAUUGCCUGUUUAGAGCCAAUUUAACAUAGAAUAUUUAUUUAAUUAAAAACAGAAAUAUUAAUCGACUUUAACUAAAGGUUUCACUAUCGUGCAGUGUCCUUAAUAUUAUUUCUGCGUAUACGUUCAUGCAGAUUUUGCCCACAUUAUUGAAUGAACAGACCCUUUUAUGGACAUUAUUUAUGGUUAUAUUAAAGGAGUUAUGCAGUCCAAAACAGACGUUUACUGUAGUAAAACCAUGUUUUGCCAAUCAAUAAAGCAAGACAACAUGGUUAAUUUUUAUAAGGGUCUUCGAUUAAAGGUAUGAUGUAGGAACACAUCUAGGAUUAACAUCUAGGAUAACAGUUUUUUGCUAGAUGUUAACUUUGAAUUGGAACAGUACUUGGCCAUCUACUGAUGACGUUUCAAAAGUAUUCAGUCUUUAUAAUACAAGUCCAGGCAGACAAUGCAUAUUAAUAAGUGGCCAACACAUACCACUCAGUAAUUUCAGUGCAGUUCCUCCCCCCAUGCCCACCACUCAUGCAACCAUUUAUAGCAAGAAACUGUAAUUUUAUAAAACAGUUCAGUACCGUAAAAUUAGGCCGUAAAUUUAUCACUCAAAAAAAAUUCUGUCUUCAUUUUCUCAUCCUCAUGUUGUUCUAAACCUGUAUGAAUUUCUUUUUCCAAAGAUAUUUUGAUAAAUGGUAACCAUUAGCUGUGUGUUUACUAUCAUUUAUCAAAUUAUCUUCUUUUGUGUUCAUCAGAAAAAAAGAAAUGUAUACAUGUUAUCAAAACAUUACACUUUUAAUUGAAAAUAUCUAUCCCACACACGGAGAAGAAAAUAAACAGGAAGAAAAUUUUCAGCCAUGAAAUUCUUAUUUUAAUUGAUGGAUACAAAGAAAACAAAACAAUUCUUGAAAAUUCGUUGACAAACGUGCAGUUCUUCAUAAUUACGAGCUAAUCAAUUUGAUCAAAUCUGGCUGACAUCUUAGUCUCACCUUUAUUCAUGGACAGAGGCUUUUGUAGCUAAAUAUUUAGUUACAACGUAUUGUUACGUUUAAUGGUGCAACGCAAAAACAUUUAGUAGUGCGUAAGUUGUAACUUAGUGGUGCCCAUUUACGUCGUAACUAGGCUACGUUGUAACUUUCGCAAAGCUGGUGCAACCGGCCCCAGGCCAUUAGGCCAAGAUCUUUGAUUCCUUUCUCUCUCUUUUAAACUUUCUUUCUUUCCCUGUUCUUUAUAUUAUCAGUUAAUAUCUCACAUACAUUGGAAACCGUUAUUUGUACAUUACCAUUUCAUGCAUUUGUAGUGUAACCAUUUUAGUUGUAACUUUAAGUCAGUACUGUUAUUAAACCUUUUAAUUUAUAAA